rnacentral:lncRNA from 1 species
CUUGAAGAAACUAAGAUAAGCAGUGUUCCAUCAUAAGUCUUACUCAGGGAAAGUAACUUUAUCAUCUGCAGUGCACAAGACCAGAAGAAUGACCGAUCUUUACCCCUCACCUCAUUAUAACACUAAAACCUCUGCCAAGGGGGUUCUUAUCUGCCAUUUUCUGCUCAUGUGAUGUAUGUGUUAGCAUGAUCCCUUACUACACCUGAGCAUCCUGCACUCCACCCCAUACAUGUAGUGAUGCUCACCUACUUCUUGAAUUAUUAAUGUCACCUCCUUAAGACACUGCAAUGCACUCCCCUCUGGGAGCCGGCUGGAGAAAUUUUGCUCCAGUACUGUCUCCCUUGUGUUCCAGCAUAACCCCCUAAUAAAGCUUUGUCUGGGAAA